GUCGAGGGGCAGCAUAAAUUACUUGUAAUUUGAUGGCGACCGGCGAACGGGUGCGUAACGCGUAUGCAACCUACCUUUUACUAGAGAAUAGCCAAGAGAAAUUUUGAUUAAUGCUCUAUACACUUUAAGACUCACAUGAGUCUAAAAGAAAAGCUCCGGCGGUAAAAGAUGGGCAUGCGUUCUAUUAGCUUGUAGGUGAGGUAACGGCUCACCUAAGCUUCGAUAGAUAGGGGUCCUGAGAGGGAGACCCCCCACACUGGUACUGAGACACGGACCAGACUUCUACGGAAGGCAGCAGUAAGGAAUAUUGGACAAUGGAGGCAACUCUGAUCCAGCCAUGCCGCGUGAAGGAAGAAGGCCCUAUGGGUCGUAAACUUCUUUUAUACAGGAAGAAAUCUUUCCACGUGUGGAAAGUUGACGGUACUGUAAGAAUAAGGAUCGGCUAACUCCGUGCCAGCAGCCGCGGUAAUACGGAGGAUCCAAGCGUUAUCCGGAAUUAUUGGGUUUAAAGGGUCCGCAGGCCGUUUGUUAAGUUAGAGGUGAAAUCCUACCGCUCAACGGUAGAACUGCCUUUAAAACUGGCAAACUUGAGUUAUUGUGAAGUAAUUAGAAUGUGUAGUGUAGCGGUGAAAUGCAUAGAUAUUACACAGAAUACCGAUUGCGAAAGCAGAUUACUAACAAUUAACUGACGCUGAGGGACGAAAGCGUGGGUAGCGAACAGGAUUAGAUACCCUGGUAGUCCACGCCGUAAACGAUGGUCACUAGCUGUUUGAUGUACAUUGGUACAUUGAGUGGCU
rnacentral:rRNA from 1 species